rnacentral:tRNA from 1 species
CUAUUUUGGCAGAAAAGAUGUGGUGGUUUUAGAAAUCAUUAAUAUAUAAAUUAUUUAUAUAUGUAGUA